rnacentral:rRNA from 1 species
GAUGAACGCUGGCGGCGUGCCUAAUACAUGCAAGUCGAGCGAACGGACGAGAAGCUUGCUUCUCUUAUGUUAGCGGCGGACGGGUGAGUAACACGUGGAUAACCUACCUAUAAGACUGGGAUAACUUCGGGAAACCGGAGCUAAUACCGGAUAAUAUUUUUAACCGCAUGGUUCAAAAGUGAAAGACGGUCUUGCUUUCACUUAUAGAUGGAUCCGCGCUGCAUUAGCUAGUUGUUAAGUUAACGGCUUACCAAGGCAACGAUGCAUAGCCGACCUGAGAGGGGGAUCGGCAAAACUGGAACGGAGAAACGGUCAAGACUCCUACGGGAGGCAGAAGUAGGGAAUCUUCGUAAAUGGGCGAAAGCCUGACGGAGAAACGCCGCGUGAGUGAGGAAGGUCUUGGGAUCGUAAAACUCUGUGAUUAGGGAAGAACAUAUGUGUAAGUAACUGUGCACAAAGUGACGGUAACUAAUCAGAAAGCCACGGCUAACCACGUG